rnacentral:rRNA from 1 species
GACGAACGCUGGCGGCGUGCCUAAUACAUGCAAGUUGAGCGCUGAAGGUUGGUACUUGUACCAACUGGAUGAGCAGCGCACGGGUGAGUAACGCGUGGGGAAUCUGCCUUUGAGCGGGGGACAACAUUUGGAAACGAAUGCUAAUACCGCAUAAAAACUUUAAACACAAGUUUUAAGUUUGAAAGAUGCAAUUGCAUCACUCAAAGAUGAUCCCGCGUUGUAUUAGCUAGUUGGUGAGGUAAAGGCUCACCAAGGCGAUGAUACAUAGCCGACCUGAGAGGGUGAUCGGCCACAUUGGGACUGAGACACGGCCCAAACUCCUACGGGAGGCAGCAGUAGGGAAUCUUCGGCCAUGGACGAAAGUCUGACCGAGCAACGCCGCGUGAGGGAAGAAGGUUUUCGGAUCGUAAAACUCUGUUGGUAGAGAAGAACGUUGGUGAGAGUGGAAAGCUCAUCAAGUGACGGUAACUACCCAGAAAGGGACGGCUAACUACGUG